UCAUUGAAACACCGGUUUCUGUACGAUCACCGAAGUUAAGCAACGUCGAGCCUGCUCAGUAUCUAGUUGAUUGACUGCUUGGAAAUAUCAUGUGCUGUAAG